UACAGGGGGGGCAAGCGUUGUUCGGAAUUACUGGGCGUAAAGGGCUCGUAGGCGGCCAACUAAGUCACACGUGAAAUCCCCAGGCUUAACCUGGGAACUGCGUGUGAUACUGGAUGGCUUGAAUCCGGGAGAGGGAUGCAGAAUUCCAGGUGUAGCGGUGAAAUGCGUAGAUAUCUGGAGGAAUACCGGUGGCGAAGGCGGCAUCCUGGACCGGCAUUGACGCUGAUGAGCGAAAAGCUAGGGGAGCAAACGGG
rnacentral:rRNA from 1 species